rnacentral:rRNA from 1 species
CAAAGAUUAAGCCAUGCAUGUCUAAGUACUAGCAUUAAUACUGUGAAACUGCGAAUGGCUCAUUAAAUCAGUUAUGAUCUACUUGGCAUUCUAACUGCUUUGCUGCUGGAUAACCGCGGUAAUUCUGGAGCUAAACAUGUGUAUAUAACGGUGUAUGCCGUUGCGUAUAUUAGAUAAAAACCAACCUGGGGUAAAACCUAGUCUUUGGUCGCUCAUAGUAUCCUUGCCGGUCUUCAGUUUAAUCUGGAGCCAGUUCAYUCGAUUUUCUGCCCUAUCAUUGCUUUUGAUUGCACGAUCGAGGCGUGCAAUGGCUUCUACGGGUAACGGGGAAUAAGGGUUCGAUUCCGGAGAGGGAGCCUGAGAAACGGCUACCACAUCCAAGGAAGGCAGCAGGCGCGCAAAUUACCCAAUCCCGACACGGGGAGGUAGUGACAAUAAAUAACAAUGCAGGGCUUUUAUAGUCUUGCAAUUGGAAUGAGUACAAUUUAAAUCCUUUAACGAGGAACAAUUGGAGGGCAAGUCUGGUGCCAGCAGCCGCGGUAAUUCCAGCUCCAAUAGCGUAUACUAAAGUUGUUGCAGUUAAAACGCCCGCAGUCGAACUUUAGUCUAUAGGCAGGUGUCCUAGCAUUCAUUUGUUGGGUACAUUUUGUCUGGGACUUUUGACUGGAUCUCCCUUGUCCUCGGACUUGGGGUCGAACCAGUCGAUUACCAUGAGCAAAUCAGAGUGUUUAAAGCAGGCUUUCAAGCUUGAAUGUGUUAGCAUGGAAUAAUGAAAUAUGACAUUUGGUCUAUUUUCGUUGGUUCAAGACCAAAGUAAUGAUGAAUAGGAGUGGUCGGGGGCAUUUGUAUUUGGACGCUAGAGGUGAAAUUCUUGGAUUGUCCAAAAGACAAACUACUGCGAAAGCAUUUGCCAAGGACGCUUCCGUUGAUCAGGGGCUAAGGUUAGGGGAUCGAAGACGAUUAGAUACCGUCGUAGUCUUAACCAGCAAACUAUGCCGACUAGGGAUUGGGACUUGACUUCUUAUGGGCUUUGUCCAGCACCUUUAGCGAAAGCAAAGUUUUUGGGUUCUGGGGGGAGUACGGGACGCAAGGCUGAAACUUAAAGGAAUUGACGGAAGGGCACCACCAGGAGUGGWGCCUGCGGCUU